UACGAACUGUGCGAACGUUAUUCGGAAUCACUGGGCUUAAAGGGUGCGUAGGCGGUUUGUUAAGUCAGGUGUGAAAUCUCCCGGCUCAACCGGGAAACAGCGCUUGAAACUAGCAGACUGGAGUGAGGUAAGGGUGUGCGGAACUUCCAGUGGAGCGGUGAAAUGUGUAGAUAUUGGAAGGAACGCCGGUGGCGAAAGCGGCACACUGGGCCUUGUCUGACGCUGAGGCACGAAAGCCAGGGGAGUGAACGGG
rnacentral:rRNA from 1 species